CUCUCUGAGCCUUGGUUCCUACCUUUGUAAGCUGUGAUUGACCGCAUCUUUGUUGCUAGAUUACUGUGCAAUGACUGGACCCAGGACUAACAACAAUGGAUUUGAGAUUCCUCACCAUAUCC
rnacentral:lncRNA from 1 species